UCAGGAUGAACGCUAGCGACAGGCUUAACACAUGCAAGUCGAGGGGCAUCACGGGAGUAGCAAUACAACUGGUGGCGACCGGCGCACGGGUGAGUAACGCGUAUGCAACCUACCUAUCAGAGGGGAAUAACCCGGCGAAAGUCGGACUAAUACCGCAUAAAACAGGGGCACCGCAUGGUGAUAUUUGUUAAAGAAAUUCGCUGAUAGAUGGGCAUGCGUUCCAUUAGGUAGUUGGUGAGGUAACGGCUCACCAAGCCGACGAUGGAUAGGGGAACUGAGAGGUUGGUCCCCCAUACUGGUACUGAGACACGGACCAGACUCCUACGGGAGGCAGCAGUGAGGAAUAUUGGUCAAUGGGCGGGAGCCUGAACCAGCCAAGUCGCGUGAAGGAAGAAGGAUCUAUGGUUCGUAAACUUCUUUUGCAGGGGAAUAAAGUGCAGGACGUGUCCUGUUUUGUAUGUACCCUGAGAAUAAGGAUCGGCUAACUCCGUGCCAGCCGCCGC
rnacentral:rRNA from 1 species